rnacentral:lncRNA from 1 species
GUGGAGCCCUCGGUAACGUCAGUCCUCUUCUUCCUGGCUUCACUUCCGCGGCCCGCUGCUGAGUCAGAACUACUAUGGGAAUGUACUGAAGACAUCUGCAGACCUCCAGACUAAUGCUUGUGUCACCCCAGCCAAGGGGGUCCCUGAGUACAUCCGGAAAAGUCUGCAGAAUGUACAUGAAGAAGUUACUUCCAGGUAUUAUGGCUGCGGUCUGGUGGUGCCUGAGCAUCUGGA